rnacentral:rRNA from 1 species
CGUGUAGGCGGUCAGGUAAGUGGAAUGUGAAAGCCCUCGGCUCACCCGAGGAUCUGCAUUCCAAACUGCCUGGCUUGAGUAUGGGAGAGGAUGAGGGAAUUCCUGGUGUAGCGGUGAAAUGCGUAGAUAUCAGGAGGAACACCGGUGGCGAAGGCGCUCAUCUGGCCCAAUACUGACGCUGAGGCGCGAAGCUAGGGGAGCAAACG